rnacentral:rRNA from 1 species
UACGUAGGGUGCAAGCGUUGUCCGGAAUUAUUGGGCGUAAAGAGCUCGUAGGCGGCUUGUCACGUCGAUUGUGAAAGCCCGAGGCUUAACCUCGGGUCUGCAGUCGAUACGGGCUAGCUAGAGUGUGGUAGGGGAGAUCGGAAUUCCUGGUGUAGCGGUGAAAUGCGCAGAUAUCAGGAGGAACACCGGUGGCGAAGGCGGCCUGCUGGGCAGUUGCUGACACUGAGGCGCGACAGCGUGGGGAGCAAACAGG